UUUCCGUAGGUGAACCCGCGGGAGGAUCAUUAAUGAGUUGUCAUGGGGUUCGAUGCUGGCAGCCAGUUUUUGGAUGCAUGUGCUUGCCCUAACAAUCAUCUUCUUCCAAACACCUGUGCACAUUUUUGAGGGAGUCUUGAGUUGGUUGCCGCUCUUGGGUGAUUUUCUCACAUUCCCUUAAAUCAUUAUACGCUAUUAACAAUGUUGAACGUGCUCUGUGCCGCAAGGCCAUUAAUAUAAUACAACUUUUAACAACGGAUCUCUUGGCUCUC
rnacentral:misc_RNA from 1 species